GUCUGCACAUGCUGAGCACGGGUUGAGGGCCGCUCUGUCCCCCUGCGGUUGGUCCUCACAGUAUGCUGGCUGCCACGGGGACUUGUAAUUCAAAUCCAUGACGUUCUCAAAGACUCAAAGGCGGAAAAUGUCAUGACAAAAAAUCAAAGGCUGUCCACUGUACUUCAUGUGUGAGUUGUCUCCUAACUUCCCUGCAAGAGCACUGAUGUUGCAGGUUUCCUUAGAACAUCAGGAGUGGGUCUUGGUUUGCUCCUAUACACAACCAAAAUAUCCAAUUGCUUAUGGCAGCAAGUUGGAAGGAAGAGAG
ensembl:lncRNA